GUCUAAAUCGACGAAGGGUUUAAGUAUAGUGUAAUCUAAAGAUGGGUGAGAAGGAAGAGGCGGAACCAGCGCCAUUAGUCAGAAAAGGAAAGGAUAAAAAAAGCCAAGUGAAAAGUAAAUCGGAGGGAAGCGAAAGAAAAGUUUCGUUGAAGAAGACGAAGAUAAAAUAGAAGAGACAAAAAGAAUGGGAAGCUUGGAGAAGAAGAAAGGCCGUCAUAUCGAACCAUCGCAUCGAAGCGAGUUCCGAGGUUGGCUAUAAUGAUGAAUAGGCGGCGGUAAUUAAGAUGACCUAGUUAAUGCCGCAUGUGAGACAAAAAUAAGGAUUGAGAUUGGGCCAUAAGAAAGAAAAUAAAUGACUAAGAUUGAACCGUACAGAGGGUCACGCCUCGGAUUACGUCAAGUACUUGUACAAAGAAUUUGAAUGUGAUUGGACCGAAAACGACGCCUCGGAUCGCGCUUGUUAUUGAAGUGAUGGCGGGAUUUCGACAGCAGAAAAAUGGACAGUUGAAAUGAAACUGUACCAGGAAGUUGAAAAAUAAUCACGCCUCAGGUCAUGCCAGUUACCGAAGUGUUACUUCAAAAGAUGUCGAGGGGGCAAUUGUUGAGCCAAUUAGGCGCGGACAGGUGGCAUGCUGGUAUUCCCUUCAAAAACAUUGAUUCGGUCGUGCACCAGGAGCACCGAAAAAGUUUAAAGGAAGCCAAAUCGUGCCAAUUGAAGGAAGUUACAGUAACUGCAAGCAGUUACAUACGGUUCCAAUCGGCUGGAGGUAGUCCGGGAUUUGAGGAGAUAAUGGUCGAUCGUGUAAGAGCAAUAACUGAUCAGGGGGCGAUCUAUAAAUAGGAUAAUAACGCCCUAAAAAAGGGUCCUUUUCCCUGUGAACAAAAGACCUCCCUUAUUUUACCGCAUCUUUCUUUCCUGCAUUUACCGCUUUUUCUAGGAGUAGCUUGGUAAUUUAGAAUCCUGGAGUCUGUCUGCCCCCGGGGCAUCGCUCCGUUGUA
rnacentral:lncRNA from 1 species